AUGAUUGUUGCUCCUAGUUUAAAUGGAAGAAGGGGUGGGCUACUACUUGUCUGGAAGAAGGAGGUUAGGAUCUACUCCCGGACAACCAGUCUGGACUUCAUUGAUGUGUUGGUGGAUGAACCUGGAGGGAACACUUGGAGGCUGGUUGGCAUUUAUGGUGAACCUAGUUGGGAAAACAAAGAUCGCACAUAUAGAAUUUUGCGUGACCUUCAUGUCCAAUCAAACCUGCGAUGGACGGUAAUAGGUGAUUUCAAUAAAAUUCUCUUCGCGUCAAAAAAGGAAGGAGGAGCUCCUCAUUAUCGCUCACGACUUCAAGCGUUUCAAGAUACACUAUCGGACUGCAUGCUUGAAGACAUUGGAUAUGAAGGGGAUAGAUUCACUUGGUUUCGUGGUGGUCUCCACGAAAGACUAGACCGUGCAGUCGCAAAUGCAGGAUGGGUGCAGCUACAUCCUCAUGCCGAUCUGUGUAACUUGGAGAUGGGUAAGUCAGACCAUAGAUCGAUUUGUUUGGACACUGAACACCUAGCAGGGGUGGCGGAUAGCAGUCCGAUUUAUAAGAUGAAAUUCGAGGCAAGAUGGUUGUCAGAGGAAACAGUAGAGGAGGUUGUCAAAACUGCCUGGCAGAAGGCAGUGCAGCGUGGCCUUUGCCCGUCAGCUACUGAGAAGCUGACUUCGGUCCACAAGGACCUGCACACGUGGGACAGAAAGGUAUUGAAGGGCCCCCGAGCUCGUCUUAGAAAGGCGCAACAGGAGUUAGAAACUUUGACAAGGCUUUCCUUUUCCAACUGA
rnacentral:rRNA from 1 species